rnacentral:rRNA from 1 species
UGAAUACGAGAUGCUACGGCGUCGAAGCAGUCUAUGUCAUACUUCCAAGAAAAGCUCGCACUGUCAUAAACAAAUAAUGCCUGUACCAUAACCGACACAGGUGGGUAGGUAGAGUAUACUAAGGGGCGCGAGAUAACUCUCUCUAAGGAACUCGGCAAAAUGACUCCGUAACUUCGGGAGAAGGAGUGCCUUAUUUAUAAGGUUGCAAUAACAAGAUCCAAGCAACUGUUUAUCAAAAACACAGGUCUCCGCUAAGUCGUAAGACGAUGUAUGGGGGCUGACGCCUGCCCAGUGCCAGAAGGUUAAAGAAGUUGGUUAGCAUUCGCGAAGCUGAUAACUGAAGCCCUGGUGAACGGCGGCCGUAACAAUAACGGUCCUAAGGUAGCGAAAUUCCUUGUCGGGUAAGUUCCGACCCGCACGAAAGGCGUAAUGAUUUGGAUACUGUCUCGGAGAGGGGCUCGGUGAAAUAGACUUGUCUGUGAAGAUGCGGACUACCUGCACCAGGACAGAAAGACCCUAUGAAGCUUUACUGUAACUUGAGAUUGAAAUUGGACUUUACUUGCGCAGUAUAGGUGGGAGGCGUUGAUAAUAUUCUUGCGGGAUUAUUUGAGCCAUCAGUGAGAUACCACUCUUGUAAUGUUAGAUUUCUAACUUUGUAUCAUUAUCUGGUCAAAGGACAGUUUCAGGCGGGCAGUUUGACUGGGGCGGUCGCCUCCUAAACGGUAACGGAGGCGCACAAAGGUUUCCUCUGAACGGGUAGAAAUCGUAUCUAGAGUGUAAAGGCAUAAGGAAGCUUGACUGUGAGACCUACAAGUCGAGCAGGGACGAAAGUCGGUCUUAGUGAUCUGACGGUGCUGAGUGGAAAGGCCGUCACUCAACGGAUAAAAGUUACUCUAGGAUAACAGGCUGAUCUCCCCCAAGAGUUCACAUCGACGGGGAGGUUUGGCACCUUGAUGUCGGCUCAUCGCAUCCUGGGGCGGUAGUACGUCCCAAGGGUUGGGCUGUUCGCCCAUGAAAGCGGUACGCGAGCUGGGUUCAGAACGUCGUGAGACAGUUCGGUCCAUAUCCGGUGUAGGCGUUAGAAUAUUGAGAGGAGCCUUCUUUAGUACGAGAGGACCGAGAAGGACAUACCUCUGGUGUACCAGUUAUCGUGCCAACGGUAAACGCUGGGUAGCUAUGUAUGGAGUGGAUAACCGCUGAAAGCAUCUAAGUGGGAAGCCCACCUCAAGAUAAGUAUUCUCA